rnacentral:tRNA from 1 species
GGCCGUUUGGCGCAAUGGUAGCGCGUGGACCUCCUAAGUCCAAGGUUGCGGGUUCGAGUCCCGUGAUGGUCG